rnacentral:rRNA from 1 species
GUGAACGCUGGCGGUAGGCCUAACACAUGCAAGUCGAACGGCAGCACAGUAAGAGCUUGCUCUUACGAGUGGCGAGUGGCGGACGGGUGAGGAAUACAUCGGAAUCUACUUUUUCGUGGGGGAUAACGUAGGGAAACUUACGCUAAUACCGCAUACGACCUACGGGUGAAAGCAGGGGAUCUUCGGACCUUGCGCGAUUGAAUGAGCCGAUGUCGGAUUAGCUAGUUGGCGGGGUAAAGGCCCACCAAGGCGACGAUCCGUAGCUGGUCUGAGAGGAUGAUCAGCACACACUGGAAUGAGAAGACGUCCCGACCCCUAGGGGGGGGAGCAGGGGGGAAAUUUGGGAAAAGGGGGGCAAUCCGGACCAAACCAUCCGGGGGGGGGAAAGAAGGCUUUGGGGUGUAAAGCCCUUUUUGUGGGAAAAAAAAAGAAGCAGGUAAAUCCCCCGUUUUUCGAGGGGAACCAAAAAAAAAGGCCCGGCCAACCUUCGUG